CAGAGCCUCCUCUCAAAAAAGCUAACUUUCAGACGGAUGGAGUCACUGUAACCAUCAAUGAAACUGUGUCAAUGCCACUCGAUCAGUGGCUGCACUGUCAAAGAGAAAAGAAAGAGAGUCUUUUUGUGCGGAGCAUGGCACUGGCUUGUGGGGGAAGGAUACACUCAAGAACAGGUCGACAGAAGGACGGGUGUCGAAUCGGUUUAGAAAGCAACCUGAAGCUACGGCAAAACCCCAACUCUCACCAGAAAAAAAUGGUGUCCUAGAAGACUGCUUUGAGGACUGGCUCGUGAAGCGUGGUGCCAGUGGUCCAUGCUUGAAAGAAAGGUUGAACUCCCUGAAAGGCCACCUGAUUUCAGCUCUACGGGAUGCUGCAAGACCAGCAAAAGACACACCGACCACACCCACAAAUGCCACCUCAUAAGGACCUUAUUUCUGCUGAAGUUUCUGGUUGUCCUCAUAUCUUCGCAGCAGAAGAAGGAUCCCACUGCUGCCUGUGAUGCAGGAGGUCAAG